AGUGAACGCUGGCGGUAGGCCUAACACAUGCAAGUCGAACGGCAGCACAGUAAGAGCUUGCUCUUACGGGUGGCGAGUGGCGGACGGGUGAGGAAUACAUCGGAAUCUACUUUUUCGUGGGGGAUAACGUAGGGAAACUUACGCUAAUACCGCAUACGACCUACGGGUGAAAGCAGGGGAUCUUCUGACCUUGCGCGAUUGAAUUAGCCGAUGUCGGAUUAGCUAGUUGGCGGGGUAAAGGCCCACCAAGGCGACGAUCCGUAGCUGGUCUGAGAGGAUGAUCAGCGACACUGGAACUGAGACACGGACCAGACUCCUACGGGAGGCAGCAGUGGGGAAUAUUGGACAAUGGGGGCAAGCCUGGUCCAGUCAUACCGCGUGGGUGAAGAAGGCCUUCGGGGUGUAAAGCCCUUUUGUUGGGAAAGAAAAGCAGCAGGUUAAUACCCCGCUGUUCUGACGGUACCCAAAGAAUAAGCACCGGCUAACUUCGUG
rnacentral:rRNA from 1 species